rnacentral:rRNA from 1 species
CUCUUAGCAAUGGAUAUCUUGGUUCCCACAACGAUGAAGAACGCAGCGAAAUGCGAUACGUAAUGCGAAUUGCAGAAUUCAGUGAAUCAUCAAAUCUUUGAACGCAAGUUGCGCUCUCGAGAUAUCCUUGAGAGCAUGCCUCUUUGAGUGUCGG